rnacentral:rRNA from 1 species
ACUCCACGGGAGGCAGCAGUGGGGAAUUUUGGACAAAGGGCGCAAGCCUGAUCCAGCCAUGCCGCGUGAGUGAAGAAGGCCUUCGGGUUGUAAAGCUCUUUCAGCCGGGAAGAAAUCACAUGGGUUAAUACCCUGUGUGGAUGACGGUACCGGAAUAAGAAGCACCGGCUAACUACGUGCCAGCAGCCGCGGUAAUACGUAGGGUGCGAGCGUUAAUCGGAAUUACUGGGCGUAAAGCGUGCGCAGGCGGUUUGUUAAGAUAGGCGUGAAAUCCCCGGGCUCAACCUGGGAACUGCGUUUAUGACUGGCAGGCUAGAGUAUGGCAGAGGGGGGUGGAAUUCCACGUGUAGCAGUGAAAUGCGUAGAGAUGUGGAGGAACACCGAUGGCGAAGGCAGCCCCCUGGGCCAAUACUGACGCUCAUGCACGAAAGCGUGGGUAGCAAACAGGAUUAGAUACCCUGGUAGUCCACGCCCUAAACGAUGUCAACUAGGUGUUGGGUGGGUAAAACCAUUUAGUACCGGAGCUAACGCGUGAAGUUGACCGCCUGGGGAGUACGGCCGCAAGGUUAAAACUCAAAUGAAUUGACGGA